CGCUGGCGGCACGCUUAACACAUGCAAGUCGAACGAAGUAGCAAUACUUAGUGGCAGACGGGUGAGUAUAAUGUGGGAAUCUGCCUUUUGGUUUAGAAUAACUCGGGGAAACUUGAGCUAAUACUAAAUAAGCCCUCACGGGGAAAGCUUUAUGCGCCAAGAGAUGAGCCCGCACUUGAUUAGCUUGUUGGUGAGGUAAAAGCUCACCAAGGCAACGAUCAAUAGCUGUUCUUAGAGGAAGACCAGCCACAUUGGGACUGAGACACGGCCCAGACUCCUACGGGAGGCAGCAGUGGGGAAUCUUGCACAAUGGGGGAAACCCUGAUGCAGCGAUGCCGCGUGAGUGAAGAAGGCCUUUGGGUUGUAAAACUCUUUCGUCGAGGAAGAAAAUGACUGUACUCGAAUAAGAAGGUCCGGCUAACUUCGUGCCAGCAGCCGCGGUAAUACGAAGGGACCUAGCGUAGUUCGGAAUUACUGGGCUUAAAGAGCUCGUAGGUGGUUAAAGAAGUUGGUGGUGAAAUCCCAAGGCUUAACCUUGGAACUGCCAUCAAAACUUUUUAGCUAGAGUAUGAUAGAGGAAAGUGGAAUUUCUAGUGUAGAGGUGAAAUUCGUAGAUAUUAGAAAGAACAUCAAAAGCGAAGGCAACUUUCUGGAUCAUUACUGACACUGAGGAGCGAAAGCAUGGGUAGCGAAGAGGAUUAGAUACCCUCGUAGUCCAUGCCGUAAACGAUGUGUGCUAGACGUUGGAAAUUUAAUUUUCAGUGUCGCAGCAAAAGCAUUAAGCACACCGCCUGGGGAGUACGACCGCAGGUACCUAAUGAUAG
rnacentral:rRNA from 1 species